rnacentral:rRNA from 1 species
GUGUACAGCCAGACCAUGCGAUCCUUGAAGCUAAACAGUCCUAGGCCCAGCUAGUACUUGGAUAGGAGAUGACAUGGGAAUCCCAAGUUCUGUAGGCA